GAUGAAGAACGCAGCGAAAUGCGAUAAGUAAUGUGAAUUGCAGAAUUCAGUGAAUCAUCGAAUCUUUGAACGCACAUUGCGCCCGCCAGUAUUCUGGCGGGCAUGCCUGUCUGAGCGUCAUUUCAACCCUCAUGCCCCUAGGGCGUGGUGUUGGGGAUCGGCCAAAGCCCGCGAGGGACGGCCGGCCCCUAAAUCUAGUGGCGGACCCGUCGUGGCCUCCUCUGCGAAGUAGUGAUAUUCCGCAUCGGAGAGCGAAGAGCCCCUGCCGUUAAACCCCCAACUUUCCAAGGUUGACCUCAGAUCAGGUAGGAAUACCCGCUGAACUUAAGCAUAUCAAUAAGCGGAGGA
rnacentral:misc_RNA from 1 species